rnacentral:rRNA from 1 species
ACUCAGUGAAAUUGAACUCGCUGUGAAGAUGCAGUGUACCCGCGGCAAGACGGAAAGACCCCGUGAACCUUUACUAUAGCUUGACACUGAACAUUGAGCCUUGAUGUGUAGGAUAGGUGGGAGGCUUGGAAGUGUGGACGCCAGUCUGCAUGGAGCCGACCUUGAAAUACCACCCUUUAAUGUUUGAUGUUCUAACGUUGACCCGU